UAUGGCACUUAUUACGAUAUACUUUCGUCUGUUGACGUCUGAGUACUAAGUAAUAUUAUCUACUAAAAGAACCAAUGUUUAGUAUGGUAUGUAAAAAUACAUUUGUAUUUAUCUUAUCAAUUUAAUACAUUUUCGUUUAUCGUGUCGGUAAAACGGAGCGAGCCCAAUAACAUUGUAUAAAAUUACAUAAUAACUAACAAGGAAAUUUACAAUAUUUAAGGUUAAACAGAUAAUAAUUUUACGCUUGGAACUAAGGAAUAGUGGGUCCUCGUUGGCCAGUUUCGUUAUACAAAAAUAUCAGUUAAAUCAAAGACAAAUCGAUCAGUUAAAUAAUUACAUUGGCUAAAAUAUAUACUUAAUAGUUUACAUACUUUAAGUAUAAUAGUACUUUGUAUACUUAUUAGUAAUAAGUACAUAAAAUAAAUUGCCGCAGUUUUCAUAAUGUAUCUUAUCGGUUUAGCUUAUGUAUAAUGUUAAAUUUGUUUUUGCCGCAGUUUACUAUCUCACCGCAAAAUAUGUUCACUUGCAAAAUCGACACACUGUUUAUAACAGCUAUCAUUAUUAUUAUUUAUACUCGUAAUACGUUUUUCUUGCGAUUUAUAAUAGUACCUCAAUGCGGCUAUUGACAACGGACCGCGUCAUAUUUAGGAAUUUUGCGCUCUAGGCAAAUAUCUAAACCAUAGACACCUACCUACAUGAGAAAUGUCCGCCUCCGAUUCAUAACUGGAAACGUUAACCAUAACCGUUAUAUUAUUAUAUUAAACCGUUUUUACUUAUAUAUGUAUAUGUAUUUUUCCUGAGUACCUACCUAGGUAUACAUAACGAUCAGUUUUGGCGUAAAUGGUUUUGGAAAUGAGAUACAAUAAUACGACAUAACUGUGUAUGGUAUGAAACAUUAUUUAUUUAUUUCACACCCUCUGAGUAUUAUAAUAUAGAAAAUUCAGUUUCGCGAUUUUCUCCGCCCAAAUGGUCAGUUUUAAAGAUAUAAUCUUAAUACUUGGCAACUAAACUGUUCACCGUAUGUUAUCUGAAGCUUGUUAUCGAAAGGUACUCGGUUAACUCUUAAAUCAGACUCCGGAAAGUACUGUGGUUAUUUUUGUGAGCACUACGAGACUGCGACACACUUUGUACACUACGAAAUCUCAAAUGUGAACUACAAAAAAUUGAAAUGUGCCCCUGACACCUGCGUUUUUAUUAUCAACGAGCCACAAGGUUCCGUAGAUCCAUAGGUGUGAGGAAAACAUUUUUUUUUUUUUUUUUGUAUGUACUUGUAAUAUAUUUACAGUGUAAUCAAUCCCUUUAUAUGACACUCAUUAUCGCAGAAAAUAUUUAUUUUUUUGAAUUUUUUUUUUAACAAUUUAUAAAAUAAAUAGCUCUAAAAUAAAACAUUACCGUUAUUUUUUUUGGUUUUCUUAUUUUUGGGGAUGAAAACACAACCCAGUGGCGUAUCUUUGGGAGGGGGCGAUGGGUGGAUCACUACCCCUUGGUUUUUUUUUUUGCGGUGAUAUAUUAAUCACGGCUAUACCUUUCCACCAACGUACAGUGUAUUAAACUUAAAUGCAAGCAUGUGCACUACGGAAAGUCUGACAAAAAUAGCCACUGGAAAAUCGAGGUUACGGCUGUUUAACAAUAUAUUAUAUUUGAAACAUAAAAUUUACGAAUUUGGUUUUAUUGCAGCUUUGCGGUUCAAACCGAAAUAUUUUAUCCGUCACAAAACGAAAUCAUUAAGAUAUUGGCCAAUAAAACAAAAGACGAGCAAAUUCAUCACUGCCACAAAACGAAAUAUAGCAGUUUAUUAUUCGUUCACAC